AGAUUGAACGCUGGCGGCAUGCCUAACACAUGCAAGUCGAACGGUAACAGGUCAAGUGAUCCCCUUCGGGGGUGAGCGAGAUGCUGACGAGUGGCGGACGGGUGAGUAAUGCGUAGGAAUCUACCUUCGAAGUGGGGGGAUAGCCCGGAGAAAUCCGGAUUAAUACCGCAUGUUCUCUACGGAGAAAAGCGGGCCUCUGACUCAAGCUCGCGCUUGAAGAUGACGCCUACGUCGAUUUAGCUAGGUUGGUAAGGGUAAAGCCCUACAAGGCGAACGAUCCGUAGCUUGGUUUGAGAGAUGAUCAGCCACACGUGGGACUGAGACCGACCGCCCAGACCUCCGUAACGGGAGCAGCGAGGUACGGGGAAUAGUUGGAACAAGUGGGACGAC
rnacentral:rRNA from 1 species